UACAGAGGUCCCGAGCGUUGUUCGGAUUCACUGGGCGUAAAGGGUGCGUAGGUGGUGAGGUAAGUCGGAUGUGAAAUCUCCGGGCUCAACCCGGAAAUGGCAUUGGAAACUACCUUGCUAGAGGAUUUGAGGGGGGGAUUGGAAUACUUGGUGUAGCAGUGAAAUGCGUAGAUAUCAAGUGGAACACCAGUGGCGAAGGCGAAUCCCUGGAAAAUACCUGACACUGAGGCACGAAAGCUAGGGGAGCAAACAGG
rnacentral:rRNA from 1 species